GGCCCCAUGGCGGAAUUGGCAGACGCAGCUGACUUAAAAUCAGCCGCCUUCGGGUGUGUGGGUUCGAGUCCCACUGGGGCCA
rnacentral:tRNA from 1 species